UUAUUUUGGUACACAGGUGUAACAUCAUGAAAUACAGGUCAAGUUCGUCUUUGGGAUCUGUAGAUCAAAGGUCAAGGUCACAGUGACAUGGAACAGUUAAAUGGUUUCAGGAUGAUAACUUGAGAACACUUGGGCCUAGGAUCAUAAUUUUUUAUACAUAGAUGUAACAUCAUGAAAUACAGGUCAAGCUCGACUUUGAGGUUUGGAGGUCAAAGGUCAAGGUCACAGUGACUCGGAACAAUUAAACGGUUUCCAGAUGAUAACUUGAGAACGCUUGGGUCUAGAAUCUUAAAUUUUUGUACACUGGUGUAACAUGAUUAAAUGCAGGUCAUGUUCGACUUUGAGGUUAGUAGGUCAAAGGUCAAGGUCACAAUAACACGAAACAAACGGUUUCCGGGUGAUAACUUGAGAACGUUUGGGCCUAGGAUCAUGAAAAUUGAUAGCGAGGUUGGUUAUGACCAGCAGAUGACUCCUAAUGAUUUAAGGUCAGCAGGUCACAGGUCAAGGUCACAGUGAUCCGGAACACUUAAACGGUUUUCGGACAAUAUCUUCACAACGCUUGGGACUAGGAUCACAAAAUUUAAUAGGGAGGUUGGUCAUGACCAGCAGAUGACCCGUAAUUAUUUUGGGUUCCAAAGGGCAAAGGUCAUUUAAACCUUUUCCAGACAAGAACUUGAGAACGCUUGGGCCGAGGAUCAUGAAACUUCAUAGAGAGGUUGAUCAUGACCAGCAGAUUACCUCUAUUGAUUUUGAGGUCAGUAGGUCAAAGGUCAGCAAGUUCAGCUUUGACAUUGGCUUAGUUCUGUGACAAGGCCAUAUUGUGGGGGUAUAAUUCGUCACUCCUGUGACAACUCUAGUUUCAUUUGGAAACACUUUGCCCCUUUAAGGGGCUGUCAGAGGUUAAAAUAGAACUACCUUGAACUAACUUCUUGUCAUUAACUUGUCUUUAGCAUCAUUAUAAAGUCCUUUAACGUGUUUAUUCAGUUGGGCGCACUUGGCUCCUUUUUGGGGUCACUGAAGCUUAAAAUAGAAAUACCUUUAAAGUACUUCUUCUUUUGAACCACUUGAUGGAUCUUCAUCAGACUUGAUUUAUAACAUCAUUAUACGGUCUUAUGUCAAAUUUGUUCAAAUGGGGGUACUUGGGCCCUUUAAGGGAGCAGUGGAGUUAAAAUAGAAAUACCUUUAGAUGAUUUCUUCGCAGGGUUAUGCGUUUUUGGUGCAUGACAGUUAGAUAUAGAUUUAAAAGAAAAAAACAAUGUUUGCUGUAAAGAAACAGCUUAAAGGAUAUUCACAGAAACCUAGUUAGAAGCAAAGUAAAAUGGUUAAGAUUUUCUUCAGGUCAGCGACUUAGGCCAUUUUGGCCUCUUGUUUGUAAUUCACAUUGUUACAUGUGUGGGUGUAGAUCCCUAUCAGUGGAAAUUAUAUUUGGACAAGCCCCCUUUUUGAAACAUAAAAUUUUCAAAUAUAAUCCGGUAUCUCAUUUCAAUAAACCACUAAAAAUAUGAAAUAAAAUGAUAGACAAAAUAAACCAUUACAAAUAAUGUCCAUUGCAGGUAUUGGUACCUUUAAAGGGAGAUCUUUUAGAAGACAGAAACACAAACACAGAAACUUACAAAUUUGCUGCUGAAGAGCAUAAACAGAUUGUUGAGCAAUUGACACAGAAGAAUCGCCAGAUUAAAGAAGUGAUUGACAAAAUACGAACAAUCAUGUGGGAAAUCAAUACCAUGAUAGUUAUGAGAAAAACUUGAUAGUCAUUCUUGGUUAUGAGAAAACUUUGAAAGAGGUUUUGAGUAAUGAGAAAAGCUCAUUCAGUUUGACAUUCAUUCUGGGAAAAACUUAUUUGGUAAUGAUUCAAUCUACUGAUGAUGUCAGUUUGCAGUCAUAACCCAGUCACUGCAUUGUUUUGAUGAAGGAUUUAUGAACUACAAAGUGUACAGCAUGUGAAUGUGGGUAAAAGAAGGGUAACAGUUAAUGUGGUAUGGAUAAUGCCACUGCAGUUUUCUUCUAGAUGGACCAAGCUGUUUUUAAAUUAAUGGAUUUACAGUCAUGAAAUUUAUUGCAAAUAAAUAUUGUUAGACAAUGAAAAAGUAAUAAAUAAUAAGCCUGGUUUUC